rfam:Triticum aestivum genome assembly, contig: Triticum_aestivum_CS42_TGACv1_scaffold_569445_7AS
GACAUACUCCCUCCGUCCAAAAAUACUUGUCAUCAAAAUGGAUAAAAAGAGAUGUAUCUAGAACUAAAAUACGUCUACAUACAUCCACUUUAUCCAUUUUGAUGACAAGUAUUUUAGGACGAAGGGAGUAUGAG